rnacentral:rRNA from 1 species
CCUACGGGUGGCAGCAGUGAGGAAUAUUGGUCAAUGGGAGAGAUCCUGAACCAGCCAAGCCGCGUGAGGGAAGACGGCCCUAUGGGUUGUAAACCUCUUUUGUCGGAGAACAAAACCCGGGACGUGUCCCGGACUGCGUGUAUCCGAAGAAAAAGCAUCGGCUAACUCCGUGCCAGCAGCCGCGGUAAUACGGAGGAUGCGAGCGUUAUCCGGAUUUAUUGGGUUUAAAGGGUGCGUAGGCGGUCCGUUAAGUCAGCGGGAAAAUUGCGGGGCUCAACCCGGUCGAGCCGUUGAAACUGGCAGACUUGAGUGGGCGAGAAGUACGCGGAAUGCGCGGUGUAGCGGUGAAAUGCAUAGAUAUCGCGCAGAACUCCGAUUGCGAAGGCAGCGUACCGGCGCCAGACUGACGCUGAGGCACGAAAGCGUGGGGAUCGAACAGGAUUAGAUACCCUAGUAGUC